rnacentral:rRNA from 1 species
UACGUAGGUGACAAGCGUUGUCCGGAUUUACUGGGCGUAAAGAGCGCGCAGGCGGUCGAUCAAGUCGGGUGUGAAAGCCCCCGGCUCAACUGGGGAGGGUCAUUCGAUACUGAUCGACUCGAAGGCAGGAGAGGGAAGUGGAAUUCCCGGUGUAGUGGUGAAAUGCGUAGAUAUCGGGAGGAACACCAGUGGCGAAGGCGACUUCCUGGCCUGUUCUUGACGCUGAGGCGCGAAAGCUAGGGGAGCAAACAGG